rnacentral:rRNA from 1 species
AUGUCCAGCUCGCGCCUGACGAUCUCCUGGGGAAGGGGCUCCAUGGAAUCCAUCGCACCAUACUCGGCAAGCAUCUCGCCAUCCGCGUCCACCAUCUCUUUGGAAACGGCUGCCACGAGCCGGGCGUGGGCGACCGCGAUCUGGGCUUGGACGGGCUCCGUCGUGGUAAGGUAUGCGGCGGAGGAACGGGCGGCUGCUCGAACGCUCUCGAUGAUUGCCAACUCUUCGGUCGUGGGUCGCCAAUCGUUGUCGAAGAAGCUUCGUUCGAUUUAUGCGGUGAUCGCCACGAGCUGGGCGUGGGCAGCCUCCAUCAGGGCUAAGGCCGCCGCUGUGGAACGAAUAGCUGCCGUGCCGCUCUCGCCAGUUGCUAUCCCCAAGGCAGAUGUUGCUGCCACCACCUGA